AAGGGGCAAUUUUAAAUGUCAGAGGGAAGAUCGGAGAAAUUCGACAAAAUGCCCAACGACAUCACAAGCCGAAAAGAAAGUACGCAACUGAGAGAGGAAUGUCGCAGUCUCCUGAGGAAAACUUGCGCAGCGCAGCAAAGGGACCGCGCCGGGGUUAUGUUGACGAUGCGACGGGGCCACAAAGGAGUGUAUCAGAACUUGGGUCUUUAGGCCACCUCAGCACACUGAACAGCGCGGACGCCGACCACCGCGAUGUGCUGAAAGUUUCCAGAACUCGUGGACGCUCAUCGAACCAAAGAA